UCAGUAAUAUUCAUUCUCUCAACCCUCUCUCUACAAUUCUCUCCUCCCUCUCACUAGCCUCUCUCAUUCUUUUCACAUACUCUCUCUCCGGUGGCGGUUUGCAACGGUUUACGGCAGUUCACGGCGGUGCCUUCCUCCUGUAAUCUUGUGGAGCUCCUUUGGCAUGACUCUUUCCCCUUGUUUAUUGUUGUUGGUAGCCGCAAAGGGCUCGUUCAACGCUGUAGGCGUUUAGUUUGUUUAUGUUUCACUUUGUAUCUUCCUGUGGGAGUAUUUUUCUUUGUGUAUCACGGGUUUAGGGCCGAUUCCUUUGUGUUCGUCGCAUUUUAGGUGUGAUUUGUGUUGAUUUCUGUCGAAAAGUAGUUUUGGAGGCUGAGCCUAAGACCAAAACUAGUUCAAAGUUUAUUUCCAUUUUUCGUUGUUUUUUCGUUAAUAAAAUCUCAUUUCCGAUCCUUAAAUUUCAUUAAAAGUGGUAUAAGAGCUUUAGCCCCUGUCAUAAACUUUGUCAUUUCCUUAAGCCAAUAUGGCAUAUCUUCUCCAUCACCGCCACUAUUGCAAAUCCGUGUAGCUUUCGGGCUCUGGGCAUUUGAGGCUGAGACUAAGUGCGCUUCUGCCUUGACUGUUCGGUCAUCAUUAUUGCCACCCACCCUCCUCUGCUUUCUCUUCCUCUAAGGAGCGUUCACUGCCAUCUUUCUUUUCGGCAUUCUAUUACAAUGCUGCCCUGAAGCCUUCACUGGCGCGCUAUCCUUUUGAAUUUCACUUUUUUUCUGAUUCUUCAGUUUUUGCCUCCUUGUCAGAGUAAAGUCUUGAUCAUCCUCAUCAUCCACGAAGUUCCCCAUUUCAUCUCCAGACAAAUCACUCAACUCAUACGACUGGCAUUUGUUGGUCCUACUCAGAGAUCGAACCCGACCUCCAAUGCCAGCCGAAUUGUCACUAUGUAACCGAAUGCCAACAUCGGCAUUUCCUCCGCAGACAGAAUCCCGCAAAUCCCCAUUCAAAUAAGCCACUUCUUUCCCCUUUUCUAUGAGAGCCAUUUAGAGCCAGAAAAGGAGUGCAACCAAGAAGAUGGAAACACAUUUUGGACAUCAUGCAUUAAGUACAAGACACAUUUUGAGUACAAAAAUGUGUACUCUAGAGUGUCCUCGGUGCAAAGACGCUCUCCAGGCAACCGAGAUUUCUGCUCCAAAUUUAAAAGCUCAGGGUUCACACUAUUGGAGCAUCUCCCAUAACACUGAGGAUCUUUCAACAAUCUUCAGUCUUUUAAAAUAGCCUCGGAAUUUUUGAGACUUUUCAAAAUAGCAUCGAGUUUUUAGCCUUGGGUACCAAUCCGAGAUAAACUCCGAGGCUUAAUUAAAAAUAGCCAUAGCAAAUUUUCUGGAAGUGUUAAAAAACUAAAAUUUAAGUUUAUAUCAAUUUUUAUUAUUUUUUUAAAGUACGAAUUGAUUGAAUAGAUUAAAUAUUUUAUUGGUUAAAUUGUAUUUUUGUUGAAAUUUAAGUCAACAAUAAACCUAACUAAAAUUUUUGGAUGGAAUAUAAGUUUUAAAUAUGUUAAGACAAAACAACAUAGUGCUGAUUUGAUCUGAUCAUCAAAUAUUUAUAAAGAAAGUAGAAAAUAUUAAUAUAAUAUUAACAUAUAUUUUAAUAGUACAACAUAUAAUUACAUGUAACAAAAUAUAUUCUAUUUUUAGCAAAAUAUACCAUGAUUUCGCACAAAAGUAAUUUUACCCUAUAAACAAAUAUGUUUGCCUGGAGAUGAAAUGCUAAUUACUUCAAAUUAAUAUCCUAUACUAUCUGCUUUGUGACGAAUUCUUAAUUGCUUCAUGUAGAUUUGCUUACAUGGUCAAAUCAGCACGGGUGCUGAUUUGAUCUUGUCACCCCCUAACUGCAGCCUUUUUCUUAUUUAAAAGACUUGUAAACAAUUUGUGCAUCAAUAUAAAUAUGAACAAGUUCUUAUAAUUGAUAUAGAGAAUUUUAUUUUCAUAUUACAACAUACUAUCAAAGUAAACUUUUCUCCGGAUACAUCAAUUAUUAGUUAUCUUCCAUGUUUGUUGAUAUGAUUUUUAGGCAUCUAUCUUCACCAUGUUGUUGCCGCCACUUCGAUCCUUAAUGACAGAAUUAUGUUUCCGACUCUAACGAUGUUGAGAAUCCUAUCCAAUUUUAGGGACGUUGAGAGUCUUGUUUCCAAUUUUAAUUCAGUUGUGAACGCUGCUUCUGAAUCUAAUUUCGUUGAGAGUUCUACUUUUAACUCUAACAACGUUGAAAGCCUGAGCUUCCUACUGUAUCAAGUUGAGAGCCCUAUUUAUGACUCUAAUGCCAUUUAGAGCCCUAUUUCUGACUCUAAUGCCAUUUAGAAAUUUUAUGAAUUUUAUUUUAAAUAUAUAUAUAUAUAUAGUAUAUUAAACAUAUUUGUUUUUAUUUAAAAUAUUUAUAUGGAGAUCGACCGGCGAGCACCGGGUUUGGAGGGCAGCGGAUCCUCUGGGUUCCGACGUAGCUCCGCCCCUGGUUUGGAGGACUUGGAGGAUGACAUUCAGUUGCUAUGUUCCAAUACAAUGUUAUACAACAAACCUUAUACCGUCUACCAUAAGCAGGCCCUUGCCAUACAAAAGCUAGCCGCCGAAGAGUUCGGAAGCUUUAAAGAUCAUGAGGGCAAAGACAAAGUGUAGGAGAAGGAGAAGCAUAAGGAGGUCGAAUUGCAGUUGCUGCAAGCUGUGCAUAAAAGGUCGUUAAAGUUAAAGGGUAAGAAUCUGGCAAAUGAUGGAUCGGCAACUGAAGAGGACCAGGGAACAAGCUCUGGUCAUUCUAAUUUGAGAAAGGUGCCGAAAUUAUCUAAACAACAACAACAACUGAGCUCCUCCCAUCGGCUAAUAAAUGGAAUGGAGAGUUCCCAGCUUCAGUUGUAAGGACAGAUGUUAAGCAGGGCUGGAAAAACAUAAGCUUGGUACCGAGUUUAUCAAGAGGCUUGCAAGAUCCUAUGGGUUAUGCAUGAAGCCUACCAUGAUUUGCUGCUGAUCUGGGCUCGGAGGCUUGGAAAGUUGCUGCUUCGUAGCCGGUGUCAAUUCCAUCCAAUCUAUGGGAGAUGUCAUUAAGUAGCAAUGACGAAUCCUUCCAAUGAAUUACCUCAUCAGCUAGGCAAUCUCAUGGAGAAAUUGUUGCCACACAGCAGAUGCCAUCUAGUGAAUCCACCAGAGGUGGGAAUGUGAGAAUGUCAUUAGUUUAUCUGAAUUUUCAAUGUCCAUCGGCUGUGGAUGCCAACCGGUGGCGCUUCCUGUUCCGGAAAUGGUAAUAUCACUACAAGAAAAUAUCAAUUUUGUAACAAGGUUUUUUUGUCACUAAAUCCACUUUUUCCGUUACUAAUGACAUUAGAGACGGAAUUAGGGAUGGAAUUACAUUAGCUACGCAAACUUUAGAGACGGAAUUCUGUUACAAAUAUAGUACUUUUUUUUGUAGUGUAUUAGUACAUUCCAACUUGGGAUCACCACAGCUUCAUAUUCAA